GAACAGUUCACAUCCACGUGGGAGGAACCCCGGUGUUCACUUAUGGUCUCGCCCCGGGGCCGUGUUAUCUCUCCUGUCUCCCACCCAUGCGGCUGAAGGGACUGAACCGGGUGGACAUGUUUCACACUGUCACAGCAGUCCGCUGUCUCAGUGGCAUCACGUUAAUGUGACUUGAAGGAACAAGAAGCGGCGAGUGUGCUGGAGGCCUUGUUAGGACGCAUGCUCUCUGCAGGUCUCAGGAGCCCACCACAUCAGCAUCUUCUUAGGGGCUCAGUGGUCCACAGCGCGCUGGGACAUCCUCUGUGACGUGAAGAACAAAUGACCACAUCCCACACCCGCCACACUCGGAAGGAAGAGCUCGACGCUUGGAGGUCUCCUGGGUUCUGAAGCUCCCACGUUCCAUGUCGGGGGUCCUACUCUCUCAUUUACUGGUGAUGUGGAAGGCUGCCAGCUUGGAUUGGGUCCCAGAGGAGGAAAAGACCCUGCAGAAAUCCUAAGCUGUGGUACAAGCGGCCCUUGUGCUUGAGCCAUACAAACGGGCAGAUCUUAUGCCUGUGGUGUUAGAGAUACGUAUGGUGGUAAGACGCUGUAUGGAGUUUAUGAUAAGCCCCGAUAGGAUCCUCACGAUGCGGGUGCUAAGGUUCUGGAGCAAGGCCCUGCCGUCCACAGAGGAGAACUGAAUACUCUUUAUGCAACACCUCCUGGCUUGCUACUGGACCAUGGUGGACAGAGAGAGAGGGCCUAACGUGGGACAUCAGCUGACCACACAGCCAGAAUUGACCCACACGAGCUGGAUUCUAUCUGACCCGCUGGAUCACAAGGUCACGUCCACCCAGCGGCGAUCCCCCAGGAUGUGGAAAUGGCGUCUUGAGAUCAGGAGCAGUCACUCUAAGAAGUCACAGAAACUGCCCUCUGCCCGAGGAAGCUGCCUACCCAGGAUAAUCCAUCCCUCCCAGGGCCACAUCCCUUGACUGCAGAAAGUGAGUGUUUAAAGACCUGGCUUCCUUGCUUCGUCUCCUCGGACAUCUCCAGGGCACCAUCCAAGGCUCAGAGCUUCUCAUGGGAUUGGCCGAGGCCUCUGUCACACUGCAUUGCUAUCUAAUGUCCCUCUCUGUCCAGCCCUGCCACCUCACUUCAUCACACAUGUGGUUGCAUUAAAUUUCAGAUACUCAGAGUCUGUUUCCCAGGGAAGCUGACCUAAGAUGCGA
rnacentral:lncRNA from 1 species